rnacentral:rRNA from 1 species
AUUGAACGCUGGCGGCAUGCCUUACACAUGCAAGUCGAACGGCAGCGGGGGAGAAGCUUGCUUUUCCUGCCGACGAGUGGCGAACGGGUGAGUAACGCAUCGGAACGUGCCCAGUGGUGGGGGAUAGCCCGGCGAAAGCCGGAUUAAUACCGCAUACGACCUACGGGUGAAAGCGGGGGACCUUUCGGGGCCUCGCGCCCUUGGAGCGGCCGAUGUCAGAUGAGGUAGUUGGUGGGGUAAAGGCCUACCAAGCCGACGAUCUGGAGCUGGUCUGAGAGGACGACCAGCCACACUGGGACUGAGACACGGCCCAGACUCCUACGGGAGGCAGCAGUGGGGAAUUUUGGACAAUGGGCGCAAGCCUGAUCCAGCCAUGCCGCGUGCGGGAAGAAGGCCUUCGGGUUGUAAACCGCUUUUGUCAGGGAAGAAAUCUUGCGGAUUAAUACUCUGCGAGGAUGACGGUACCUGAAGAAUAAGCACCGGCUAACUACGUGCCAGCCGCCGCCGUAA